CAAAGGUAAACAAAUGAGACAUACCUUGAACCGAUGCCCCUCUACAACGAUCGAACAACGGACACACAAAGAAGACAUCCUCACUAACCCCGAUGCUGGUGUAGACACCACCAGAUCAAGGUUCAACUUUUCUACUGCUAAGCCCAACUUUUAUACACAAGCCUCCGAUAUGAAGGAGUGUGUUGCCCCCGAGUCAAACAACACCACACAAAGCACACCAAACAGUAAACAACAGCUGACGAUGAGGUUACCUGAGCUGACUGCCUCUGAUCCUCUCAAGGCAUAUACUAUGCCUGUCGCCUGAGGUUUAUCACCUCCCCUAGGCUGAGAUGAACUAGUCCUCUGGCCUAGGACCCUGACCCCACAACAGAAGUACACUUAGAAGCAAAGUGCCCCUCUUUCCCGCACUUGAAGCACUUCCUUGCACCAUUCCCAUGAGGGCAGUUGUUCCUGUAAUGAGGCCAUCCGAAUGAGAAGAAUCUAACUGUUCCAGAUGACUACACUGAUGGCUGGGAGGAUGAACCCCUAGACUCAAAAGAAAGUGAUGGUCUAGAGUAAGGGGCUAUCCUAGCACUAACUUCACCAUGAGACCUAGAUGGUCCCCCACUCCUAGUAGGCUGACUCUGCUGUCCUUCAACUUCCUUCUUCGUCUUCUUCAUCACACAAACCAUCUCUACCAAAGUAGGGAACUCAUGAAUACGGAGUCCCUUUACCAGUAGAUUGAUGUCUCCCCUCAGACCAUUCUCAAGUUUCCUACACUGCCACUCCUCAUUAGUGGCCAUGGUGUAGAAUCAGAGUAAGUGUUUGAACUUGUCUGCAUACUCUGCCACUGCCAUGUUUCCCUGAACCAGCUGGAGAAACUCUAUCUCCUUAUCAUGUCUCACACUAAUAGGAAAACACUCAGAAUAAAACUCAGUCUUGAACAGUUCCAGAGUAAUGGGAGUCCUACUCCUCUCUAGUAUCAUCUGCAUGUUGCUUCACCAAUGGCUAGUUUCCCCUAUCAACAGAUACUAAGUGUAGGCUAGCUUGUUCUCAUCGGGACACCCCUUGGCUUCAUAUAUUCGUUCCAUGUCCCAGAACCAAUGAUCGACUUCAUCUGGGC
rnacentral:lncRNA from 1 species